ACAGUGGUAACUUCCUGCACUAAAACGGGACUCUCUCUGUGUCAGUUUCACCAGACGCCCCAAAGGCUGAAAACAAAACAGUAGGUGCUGAGGCCGCCCACAUUCUAAAGGGAGGAGGAUCUGAAUCACCUUCACACCCGAGCUAAGAGACUGAAACUGAAACUGGAAGCACUGUCAGGACUGAGGAGGAUUAGUUGGCAUCCACCUCCAGGUCCCAAAGAGAAAAUGUGAGAGGAUUUCUUUGGAAUAAUUGUCAGUAUGCUGGACAUUUCCCUUCUCCCCAAGCAGGAGGGGGCAGGGAGUGCUUCCUCGUCACCUCCUGCCAAAGGAGGGGACACUCGGAGAGGACCAUUUGGAGAACUCGACACACCCUGUGGAUUUGAGGGAUACAGGGACUGGCGUCUGACUCACUACUAAAGGAAGGCAGGCCCUGAACAGCACAUGGGGAGGAGGCAGUGUGAGAGAAGAAAUGACAAUGACCAUGAGCCCCAUUCUCCCAGAUUUCCAGGCUGGAGGAUGGAAGAAGUUUUCAAUGAAUGGAUGUUUGAAGUUUUGAUAAACAAGAUGAACCUUGGAUGAGGUUCAUCUUGGAUGAACCAAGAUGAAUCACUGGAUGAACCUUGUUAAUGCCUAGAAAAGGAGACUUUAAAAAAUAAUGGCAAUGAUUACUCUUCAAUGUGUUUGUUACCUAAAAGGGACUGGAAAAGCUAUAAAUUUCAUAAAGGCAUACAGAGGAACAGCUCAUUACAGCCGGUUUGUAGGGGCUUUCAUGGGAAAACAAAGAUGCUUUCUAUUCACACCUUCCAAGUCUAGCUUGUUCCAGGAAGAGGUUGCACCGGAGAAGAGCAGAUCGGGUGGAUAGAGGUUGGUUGUGCCCUCCUGCCCUCACCGCCCAUUUUGCAGCCUCAGCUAACAUCAGGGAGAAGUUCUAUUGGAUGAAGUUUGGAGUUUUAAUGUUAUACAGACUGGACUUUUUUAAAACCAAAGAAGAAGGGCUAACUGUCCGGUUAUUUCCUCGAAGAGCUGUGUGAACCAUCCUGAUUUCUUGAUGCAGAAGGUGGUCAGGAGGUUUGAAAGCAGCAGGUGAGAGGAAAAAAACUGCUCUCAGCAUCUUCAUCAUCACAUUUACUUAUGAAGAUUAUAAUGUACUGCAGUUUAUAUGCCACCGAACAUUACCUGUAAGGGUAAUUUGAUGUAAAGCAAGAACUUUAAACAGCAGAAGCUAUUAUGUUAUGUGAAGUAGCCAUGAAGAUUCCGUAAACUACAUAGACAUCGAGUGAUUAUCUUGCUUAAAAAUAUUUAUGGAAGUUGUCAAAUUUAAAUAUUAAUUACUUAUUUUUCUUUUACAAAAGAGGCAAGUGUUUCUCAUUUGCUUUCCUUUUCUGUGAUGACUAUGAGAUGAGGCUAUGAGAAAUACAUUGCUAUGUGGUCUAUAUUCUGUUCGAUGGCAGUGAGCAUUCAUUCCCACAUCCUUCUAUGCUCUCUAUUAUAGGGGACUAGAAUUAUGGAUAUGACAUUUCCCAAACUCCUUUGCCUUCAAGGUUCUGGAUGUGAUUUCUGCCAGUGUAUUCAUGUGAGAUUCUGUAGGUGGGAGGAAAAAGUGGUAUUCUUUAUUUCUGUGACAGCACCUAGCAAAAUGGGUAGGUCAUGGUAAAGUUCUGCCGUAGCCUGCCUUCAGCCUCUAUCUCAGUACUUGGGGGCAACUCUAUCAGCAAUUGGGGGGGGGUUCCCUUCAUUUUUCUGACCUGGGUGACAGCUGCAACCUAAUACUCUGAACUGUUUGUUAGUAGUUGCAACUUCCCCUAACUCCUGCUGUC